CCUGCCCUGUGAAACACGGGCUCAGUUACUUCUGUGAAGAACUUGUCCUUGCUGAGAGCCAGGGUGAAGAUCACCCAGCACAGGCUGACAUCCUCACUCAUGCUGUGACGGCUGCAACAAUGAGGAGCCACAGGAAGAAUCAGGAACCAAAGGCAACUCAUUAUACAGCAUCCAAAAACUGAGACGUCUGAAGGUAAGGAAACUUCUUGGUGCAUUUUACAGCAAUCAGGAUACCCACAUGGUCUUGAGGGACAUUUGGGGGUG
rnacentral:lncRNA from 14 species